AGGGGUAAUGUUUUAUAUCAUAUCUUAAAGGAGCCAGGUUCAGGUCAAGGACAAAUGCAAUCUAGAGUGCUCUUGGCUUCUCUUGUUAGUAGAGCAGGUGGGUCUCAGUGCUGUGUUCCGGUGUUGAAUUUGUAAUGACCCUGGGAAGGUCAACAAUUAGUUCCUUGGUUGGCGGCUUGAAGGUAGAAGUUGGAACAUCUGUGAUUCGUGGGCUUUGUGAACCAGCUGAAGCCAACCGAGGAACCUGUCAGAGCCAAAGGGAUGCACCUUCUCACCGGGAAAGCGUCAUCUCUUACGACUUCCUUUUCUCAGUUGUCCUUUAAAGAGCUUUCCAAGUGACUUAGGAUUCAGUUAAGUAUAUGUACACGCACUGAGUCUGCAAGACAAUUCUGGAAAUAUUUUCUGAAAAGGUCUUUAAGAGGUUGACAAAUAGUCUUAAAACGAAGGCGUUCAGCACCCAGGUUUUUCAGUCCUGAGUUGGCUCUGUUAACCUCGAACCCUGAGAGGGCUGCAGACACUCCGAUGGGGUCUCUGUCAAAUACAUAGUAAAUAAGUCAGUAUAUAAUUUUAAGGCUGGAAGGACUUUCUAGUGGCAGUGUGGUCUUACCUGACGAUUUAAAAGGAAGGAAUACUAGAUCCUCAAAGAAGAAAGUAACCAGCCGGUGGUCAUUCUAGCCUCAAGAUCAAAGCCCUGGCUCUGACCCAGAUUUCCUCACACCGGUUUCAGAGUUCUUUCCAUUCUACCAUCAGAAGGUAAACAGAGACGCCUGCCAGAUAUUUUUUAAAUUACCCACGGAGAAUGGUCGGAGUGGCAGGUGCAGCCGCCGGACGUGGGUGCUGGAUCGGUUUGGUUGUAUUUACCUUUCAAUUUGUUUACUGACUGAGCGAGAGGGUCCGGCUCCAUUAGAUGUCUCCUCCAGAGGAACAAGCCUGCAUUUAUCAGCAAAGGAUGGAGGAGUGCAAUGAAGGGAGCCAAGGUAUCCCAGCAACUGCAGGAAGAGCCGUUGGCAGAUGCCUAGAAAAGUCCAGCCAAGACCAGAACUGCCAAGCUGAACCCCACCUCAACUGCCAAAUAUCAGGAUCACGAGGAAAUAGAAGAUGGUUUAUUUCAUGCUAUUUGGUUGGAUUGUUAAGCAGUAAAGGCUAACCUAUACACUUACUACAUGAUAACCAUUAUCAGGGGUCUCUAAACUAACCUAGGGAUUCCAUAUUGUAUCUAAUCUAUAGACAAGCAGCUAAGAUCCAGCUAGGAAACCUCCAUAGUGCAGAACAGGAGGUAGAUGACAGCUGGAAUUCUGACUCACUAGGCCUCUUAUUACUGUUCUGAUGGUGUCACUCUAGGCUAAUUCUUUUCUUUGCCUGUUCUCAGCACCCCCCAACAGUCAGAUACACACAAUUUCAAAUAUACACAACCUUCACAGAGCAUUUGACAGUCACAGUUCUAGAUAGUUCUAGAUUAGGGAGGGGGUAACUAAUACUUCAGGUUAAAGAGUUUUGUGAAGAGUAAUCUUACAAGUAUUUCUCUCAGGUCAGGUAACAUGGGUGACAUUUAAAGCAUCACAAUUUAAUCUCCAGUAUAGUUGAUUCACAAGCUGACAAGCUCCGUAAGGAGUACUGACCAAGUGUAUUGGUUUAAAACUUGAAGCAUCUAACACCUCCUUGAAAGAGCUACUAGCGUACCCUCUCUGUACCUCGUAGGCAUUAGGCUUGUCCCCAGACUCCCAACCUAGGGCACGUGGCUGGGUCUGGCAGAUCUACAAUCCUUCCCCUAAGCGGAUUAAUUUUUACAGAUUAAGCAAAAAAAAAAAAAAAGUUGAUUUUCUUCUCUUCUGUACAGGGCAAACUUCAUGAGAUGGUGACUUAAUUCCACAAUACAAAAGCAUGAAAAUACUGUUCAAAUUAAGUCUACACACACACACACACACACACACACACACACACACACACGCAAAAGAAAAGAAAAGAAAAGAAAAGAAAAGAGAAAAAGGGGGGAGGAAGAGAAGAAAAAGGCAGGUUCAUUCAGAGUAAUAGACCACUUUUUUCCUUAAAAAAAAAACAAUUGAACUUUAGCAAUUCUCACUAAUGAUAGGGGAAUCCCUUUGUAGAAGAACCAAUCUCACUGACUACUAAAUCAUAUAAAAUAUUCUAAGGAAGAAAUGAAAUCUUGGUCAUUGAGGACCCUCUGUGAUUCCUGCUGAGGGAGAGGCACCCACUGCUGCUGUAAUGGGGAGAAUGAUUGGGUUUGCAGCUUCGUGAACAGAGACGAUCACAGACACCAUCCAACUGCAAUUCUACACUUCAGUCAUUGAAGAAGACUCUUGCAGGUGAUAAAAUGAAGCAGAUCCGCUGGCCAGGGUAGGGACGGGGCGAAUCGAUGGCAUGUCAAGUUUAGAGUGAGUACAUUCCCGAGCUGAGCUUGGUUUCUCUGAAGCCAUUGGGAGGAUGAGAUUUCCAGCUGAAGAAUUCAUUCACCUAGAAAAGCCCAGGAAUGCAUCAUCUCCAUGCAUGUUUAGAACCUCAAUACUAAAAUAAUAUUUUGACAUGCAAAGUCAAAGCCAGCUGUACACUUAGGAUACGUACCAGCCCUUCCAUCAACAUAACAGAUGAUAGGCUUCUAAAACGUGACAGCUAACUGGGACACUUGACUGCAUUUGUUUAUAGACAGAAAAAAAAAAAGACUAAGUGCUUGGAAAACAGGAGAUCCUAAUAGCAGUGGAUUUCAGUUAUUGAUAUUGGAAAGUCUAUGCUGGCAGGGGAAACAAACUGGUCUUGCAUUUGACUGGAAAUACUUCUUUAUUCCACCUAUGAGGUAAUCUCUAACUUGUUUUGCCAGUCUAAGAUACUGUCCAUGUGCACAUGAUGAUCUGGAACUUACCCUUUCCCUGACUCAGACACCUCUCUUGAUGUCUUUACCUUUAACCAGGUUAACUUACCACACUGGAGACAGUGGAGGCAAAACCAGCAACAUGGGAAAUGAGACUUGACCUGUGCCAAAGCCUACCAUGGAUAUGAACGGAAUGGUCAAACCGAUACAAGUGGUUUUAGUACGACAAUCCCGGAACAUUCAGGUCUUUAGUUUUAUAGCGGCAGACAGAUGUGAUUCUUCAAAGUGAUUCUUACUGACGUUAAAGCCACACAUGCUCCUUCAUUUGAACACAGAAAUCCUCAGCACCUCACAGAGUAAGGCUUCCAUGGAAGAGAAGAGACACACAGUACCUGGCAGCUCUCUGUCUUGUGGGAAGGAGCUGGGCAUUUCUGUAUGGCCGACUGGAGAGGUUCCAGUGCUCAGCUGAAAGGAAUGCUCCUAGAAGAGUCUUGAGUCUGAGGUAUCUGAAGUUAUGGAAUCAAGGAGUUAGGCAGGGGAGUCUGUCCGUCCUUCCUGUCCAAGUGGAGACGAACAGGAGAUCUGUGGAAAGAAUGAACCUGGGAGACAAUUCACUAGUGGCUGCACUUGGCCAGGAUGCUGACCGACCGGUUCCUAUGUGAGACAGUCAGAAGCGACUGAAGCAAAACUCCAGGCUGCAAGCACCAGAGCCUGGGAGGUUGCUGCCCUGAAGACAUACAGUGGCCUCUACCCCAGCUCCUAUCUUAGCCCCCUCUGUCAAGAAGAAGCGAUUGCAAGAAAGACGUACAGCAGACUAUGGGUUCUGCAUCUGAAAAUGCAGCAAUCUACAACCUAAAAACAGGAAAAAUACUUUUAUUGAA
rnacentral:sRNA from 1 species